rnacentral:tRNA from 1 species
GGGCGUGUCUUCUAGGUGGUUCUGGAUGCUCGGCUGAUACCUGAGCGGUCGUGGUUCAACUCCACGCGCGCCCA